CAAGUCGUGGGGCAGCGCAGUGUAGCAAUACAUGGGCGGCGACCGGCAAACGGGUGCGUAACACGUACGCAACCUUCCCGUUACUGGUGAAUAGCCCAGGGAAACUUGGAUUAAUACACCAUAUUAUAUCGACUAGGCAUCUGGUUGAUAUCAAAGCUUCGGCGGUAACGGAUGGGCGUGCGGUUGAUUGGGUAGUUGGCGGGGUAACGGCCCACCAAGCCUACGAUCAAUAGCUGAUGUGAGAGCAUGAUCAGCCACACGGGCACUGAGACACGGGCCCGACUCCUACGGGAGGCAGCAGUAAGGAAUAUUGGGCAAUGGACGAAAGUCUGACCCAGCCAUGCCGCGUGGAGGAUGAAGGUCCUCUGGAUUGUAAACUUCUUUUUUCUGGGGCGAAAACCGGUCAUUCUUGACCAUUUGACAGUACCAGAAGAAUAAGCACCGGCUAACUCCGUGCCAGCAGCCGCGGUAAUACGGAGGGUGCAAGCGUUAUCCGGAUUCACUGGGUUUAAAGGGUGCGUAGGUGGGCAGGUAAGUCCGCGGUGAAAUCCCCGAGCUUAACUUGGGAACUGCCGUUGAUACUAUCUGUCUUGAAUAUCGUGGAGGUAAGCGGAAUAUGUCAUGUAGCGGUGAAAUGCUUAGAGAUGACAUAGAACACCAAUUGCGAAGGCAGCUUGCUACACGAUAAUUGACACUGAGGCACGAAAGCGUGAGGAGCAAACAGGAUUAGAUACCCUGGUAGUCCACGCCCUAAACUAUGGAUACUCGACAUCAGCGAUACACAGUUGGUGUCUGAGCGAAAGCAUUAAGUAUCCCACCUGGGAAGUACGAUCGCAAGAUUGAAACUCAAAGGAAUUGGCGG
rnacentral:rRNA from 1 species